rnacentral:rRNA from 1 species
GGAAAGGCGCGCGAUACAGGGUGACAGCCCCGUACACAAAAAUGCACAUGCUGUGAGCUCGAUGAGUAGGGCGGGACACGUGGUAUCCUGUCUGAAUAUGGGGGGACCAUCCUCCAAGGCUAAAUACUCCUGACUGACCGAUAGUGAACCAGUACCGUGAGGGAAAGGCGAAAAGAACCCCGGCGAGGGGAGUGAAAAAGAACCUGAAACCGUGUACGUACAAGCAGUGGGAGCCUCUUUUAUGGGGUGACUGCGUACCUUUUGUAUAAUGGGUCAGCGACUUAUAUUCUGUAGCAAGGUUAACCGAAUAGGGGAGCCGAAGGGAAACCGAGUCUUAACUGGGCGUUAAGUUGCAGGGUAUAGACCCGAAACCCGGUGAUCUAGCCAUGGGCAGGUUGAAGGUUGGGUAACACUAACUGGAGGACCGAACCGACUAAUGUUGAAAAAUUAGCGGAUGACUUGUGGCUGGGGGUGAAAGGCCAAUCAAACCGGGAGAUAGCUGGUUCUCCCCGAAAGCUAUUUAGGUAGCGCCUCGUGAAUUCAUCUCCGGGGGUAGAGCACUGUUUCGGCAAGGGGGUCAUCCCGACUUACCAACCCGAUGCAAACUGCGAAUACCGGAGAAUGUUAUCACGGGAGACACACGGCGGGUGCUAACGUCCGUCGUGAAGAGGGAAACAACCCAGACCGCCAGCUAAGGUCCCAAAGUCAUGGUUAAGUGGGAAACGAUGUGGGAAGGCCCAGACAGCCAGGAUGUUGGCUUAGAAGCAGCCAUCAUUUAAAGAAAGCGUAAUAGCUCACUGGUCGAGUCGGCCUGCGCGGAAGAUGUAACGGGGCUAAACCAUGCACCGAAGCUGCGGCAGCGACACUAUGUGUUGUUGGGUAGGGGAGCGUUCUGUAAGCCUGCGAAGGUGUGCUGUGAGGCAUGCUGGAGGUAUCAGAAGUGCGAAUGCUGACAUAAGUAACGAUAAAGCGGGUGAAAAGCCCGCUCGCCGGAAGACCAAGGGUUCCUGUCCAACGUUAAUCGGGGCAGGGUGAGUCGACCCCUAAGGCGAGGCCGAAAGGCGUAGUCGAUGGGAAACAGGUUAAUAUUCCUGUACUUGGUGUUACUGCGAAGGGGGGACGGAGAAGGCUAUGUUGGCCGGGCGACGGUUGUCCCGGUUUAAGCGUGUAGGCUGGUUUUCCAGGCAAAUCCGGAAAAUCAAGGCUGAGGCGUGAUGACGAGGCACUACGGUGCUGAAGCAACAAAUGCCCUGCUUCCAGGAAAAGCCUCUAAGCAUCAGGUAACAUCAAAUCGUACCCCAAACCGACACAGGUGGUCAGGUAGAGAAUACCAAGGCGCUUGAGAGAACUCGGGUGAAGGAACUAGGCAAAAUGGUGCCGUAACUUCGGGAGAAGGCACGCUGAUAUGUAGGUGAAGUCCCUCGCGGAUGGAGCUGAAAUCAGUCGAAGAUACCAGCUGGCUGCAACUGUUUAUUAAAAACACAGCACUGUGCAAACACGAAAGUGGACGUAUACGGUGUGACGCCUGCCCGGUGCCGGAAGGUUAAUUGAUGGGGUCAGCGCAAGCGAAGCUCUUGAUCGAAGCCCCGGUAAACGGCGGCCGUAACUAUAACGGUCCUAAGGUAGCGAAAUUCCUUGUCGGGUAAGUUCCGACCUGCACGAAUGGCGUAAUGAUGGCCAGGCUGUCUCCACCCGAGACUCAGUGAAAUUGAACUCGCUGUGAAGAUGCAGUGUACCCGCGGCAAGACGGAAAGACCCCGUGAACCUUUACUAUAGCUUGACACUGAACAUUGAGCCUUGAUGUGUAGGAUAGGUGGGAGGCUUUGAAGUGUGGACGCCAGUCUGCAUGGAGCCGACCUUGAAAUACCACCCUUUAAUGUUUGAUGUUCUAACGUGGACCCGUGAUCCGGGUUGCGGACAGUGUCUGGUGGGUAGUUUGACUGGGGCGGUCUCCUCCUAAAGAGUAACGGAGGAGCACGAAGGUUGGCUAAUCCUGGUCGGACAUCAGGAGGUUAGUGCAAUGGCAUAAGCCAGCUUGACUGCGAGCGUGACGGCGCGAGCAGGUGCGAAAGCAGGUCAUAGUGAUCCGGUGGUUCUGAAUGGAAGGGCCAUCGCUCAACGGAUAAAAGGUACUCCGGGGAUAACAGGCUGAUACCGCCCAAGAGUUCAUAUCGACGGCGGUGUUUGGCACCUCGAUGUCGGCUCAUCACAUCCUGGGGCUGAAGUAGGUCCCAAGGGUAUGGCUGUUCGCCAUUUAAAGUGGUACGCGAGCUGGGUUUAGAACGUCGUGAGACAGUUCGGUCCCUAUCUGCCGUGGGCGCUGGAGAACUGAGGGGGGCUGCUCCUAGUACGAGAGGACCGGAGUGGACGCAUCACUGGUGUUCGGGUUGUCAUGCCAAUGGCACUGCCCGGUAGCUAAAUGCGGAAGAGAUAAGUGCUGAAAGCAUCUAAGCACGAAACUUGCC